rnacentral:rRNA from 1 species
UACGUAGGGUCCAAGCGUUAUCCGGAAUUACUGGGCGUAAAGCGUGCGUAGGCGGCUCGUUAAGUGAGAUGUGAAAUCUGGCGGCUCAACCGUCAAACUGCAUCUCAUACUGGCGGGCUAGAGGAUGGCAGAGGCAAGUGGAAUUCGUAGUGUAGCAGUGAAAUGCGUAGAUAUUACGAGGAACACCAAUGGCGAAGGCAGCUUGCUGGGCCACACCUGACGCUCAGGUACGAAAGCGUGGGGAGCGAACAGG